CCAAAGGCUCUUUUCAGAGCCACUACACCGCAUCCCGAGAAGAGCUU
rnacentral:ncRNA from 1 species